rnacentral:rRNA from 1 species
UGUGUUGUUGGGUAGGGGAGCGUUCUGUAAGCCUGUGAAGGUGUGUCGUGAGGCAUGCUGGAGGUAUCAGAAGUGCGAAUGCUGACAUAAGUAACGAUAAAGCGGGUGAAAAGCCCGCUCGCCGGAAGACCAAGGGUUCCUGUCCAACGUUAAUCGGGGCAGGGUGAGUCGACCCCUAAGGCGAGGCCGAAAGGCGUAGUCGAUGGGAAACGGGUUAAUAUUCCCGUACUUGGUGUUACUGCGAAGGGGGGACGGAGAAGGCUAUGUUGGCCGGGCGACGGUUGUCCCGGUUUAAGCGUGUAGGUGUGUGUUCCAGGUAAAUCCGGUUCACUUUAACACUGAGGCGUGACGACGAGGCACUACGGUGCUGAAGCAACAAAUGCCCUGCUUCCAGGAAAAGCCUCUAAGCAUCAGGUAACACGAAAUCGUACCCCAAACCGACACAGGUGGUCAGGUAGAGAAUACCAAGGCGCUUGAGAGAACUCGGGUGAAGGAACUAGGCAAAAUGGUGCCGUAACUUCGGGAGAAGGCACGCUGACACGUAGGUGAAGUGAUUUACUCAUGGAGCUGAAGUCAGUCGAAGAUACCAGCUGGCUGCAACUGUUUAUUAAAAACACAGCACUGUGCAAACACGAAAGUGGACGUAUACGGUGUGACGCCUGCCCGGUGCCGGAAGGUUAAUUGAUGGGGUCAGCGCAAGCGAAGCUCCUGAUCGAAGCCCCGGUAAACGGCGGCCGUAACUAUAACGGUCCUAAGGUAGCGAAAUUCCUUGUCGGGUAAGUUCCGACCUGCACGAAUGGCGUAAUGAUGGCCAGGCUGUCUCCACCCGAGACUCAGUGAAAUUGAACUCGCUGUGAAGAUGCAGUGUACCCGCGGCAAGACGGAAAGACCCCGUGAACCUUUACUAUAGCUUGACACUGAACAUUGAGCCUUGAUGUGUAGGAUAGGUGGGAGGCUUUGAAGUGUGGACGCCAGUCUGCAUGGAGCCGACCUUGAAAUACCACCCUUUAAUGUUUGAUGUUCUAACGUGGACCCGUGAUCCGGGUUGCGGACAGUGUCUGGUGGGUAGUUUGACUGGGGCGGUCUCCUCCUAAAGAGUAACGGAGGAGCACGAAGGUUGGCUAAUCCUGGUCGGACAUCAGGAGGUUAGUGCAAUGGCAUAAGCCAGCUUGACUGCGAGCGUGACGGCGCGAGCAGGUGCGAAAGCAGGUCAUAGUGAUCCGGUGGUUCUGAAUGGAAGGGCCAUCGCUCAACGGAUAAAAGGUACUCCGGGGAUAACAGGCUGAUACCGCCCAAGAGUUCAUAUCGACGGCGGUGUUUGGCACCUCGAUGUCGGCUCAUCACAUCCUGGGGCUGAAGUAGGUCCCAAGGGUAUGGCUGUUCGCCAUUUAAAGUGGUACGCGAGCUGGGUUUAGAACGUCGUGAGACAGUUCGGUCCCUAUCUGCCGUGGGCGCUGGAGAACUGAGGGGGGCUGCUCCUAGUACGAGAGGACCGGAGUGGACGCAUCACUGGUGUUCGGGUUGUCAUGCCAAUGGCACU